rnacentral:rRNA from 1 species
UACGAAGGGGCUAGCGUUGUUCGGAAUUACUGGGCGUAAAGCGCGUGUAGGCGGUUGUCCAAGUUGGAUGUGAAAGCCUUUGAGCUCAACUCAAGAAAUGCAUUCAGGACUGGAUGACUAGAGGACCGGAGAGGAUAGUGGAAUUCCCAGUGUAGUGGUGAAAUACGUAGAGAUUGGGAAGAACACCAGUGGCGAAGGCGGCUAUCUGGACGGUUUCUGACGCUAAGACGCGAAAGCGUGGGAGCAAACAGG